UGGCGAACGGGUGAGUAACACGUGAGUAACCUGCCCUUAACUCUGGGAUAAGCCUGGGAAACUGGGGUCUAAUACCGGAUAGGAGCGUCCACCGCAUGGUGGGUGUUGGAAAGAUUUAUCGGUUUUGGAUGGACUCGCGGCCUAUCAGCUUGUUGGUGAGGUAAUGGCUCACCAAGGCGACGACGGGUAGCCGGCCUGAGAGGGUGACCGGCCACACUGGGACUGAGACACGGCCCAGACUCCUACGGGAGGCAGCAGUGGGGAAUAUUGCACAAUGGGCGCAAGCCUGAUGCAGCGACGCCGCGUGAGGGAUGACGGCCUUCGGGUUGUAAACCUCUUUCAGUAGGGAAGAAGCGAAAGUGACGGUACCUGCAGAAGAAGCACCGGCUAACUACGUGCCAGCAGCCGCGGUAAUACGUAGGGUGCGAGCGUUAUCCGGAAUUAUUGGGCGUAAAGAGCUCGUAGGCGGUUUGUCGCGUCUGUCGUGAAAGUCCGGGGCUUAACCCCGGAUCUGCGGUGGGUACGGGCAGACUAGAGUGCAGUAGGGGAGACUGGAAUUCCUGGUGUAGCGGUGGAAUGCGCAGAUAUCAGGAGGAACACCGAUGGCGAAGGCAGGUCUCUGGGCUGUAACUGACGCUGAGGAGCGAAAGCAUGGGGAGCGAACAGGAUUAGAUACCCUGGUAGUCCAUGCCGUAAAC
rnacentral:rRNA from 1 species